AGCUCCAAUAGCGUAUAUUAAUGUUGUUGCAGUUAAAAAGCUCGUAGUUGAAAUAUGAAUAUUUUUAUAAUUUUUUAUUUAUUUAAUUUAAAAUUUUAAAAAUUUCGUUUCCAAUAUUAUAUUAUGAGUAUUCAUUUAUUUAUAAUAUUAAUUUUGGUCAUUUACUGUGAGAAAAUUAGAGUGUUCAAAGCAAACUUGUGUUUGAAUAUAUUAGCAUGGAAUAAUAAUAUAAGACUUAUAUAUUAUAUUUUUGGUUAAAAUUAUAUAAGUAAGAUUAAAAGGGACAGUUGGGGGUAUUCAUAUUCAAUAGUUAGAGGUGAAAUUCUCGGAUUUAUGGAAGAUGAACUAGUGCGAAAGCAUUUACCAAGGAUGUUUUCA
rnacentral:rRNA from 1 species